rnacentral:rRNA from 1 species
GGCGCACGGGUGCGUAACGCGUAUGCAAUCUACCUUUUGCAGAGGGAUAGCCCAGAGAAAUUUGGAUUAAUACCUCAUAGUAUAGUGAUACCGCAUGGUACUGCUAUUAAAGUCACAACGGCAAAAGAUGAGCAUGCGUCCCAUUAGCUAGUUGGUAAGGUAACGGCUUACCAAGGCUACGAUGGGUAGGGGUCCUGAGAGGGAGAUCCCCCACACUGGUACUGAGACACGGACCAGACUCCUACGGGAGGCAGCAGUGAGGAAUAUUGGACAAUGGGCGCAAGCCUGAUCCAGCCAUGCCGCGUGCAGGAUGACGGUCCUAUGGAUUGUAAACUGCUUUUGUACAGGAAGAAACACUCCCUCGUGAGGGAGCUUGACGGUACUGUAAGAAUAAGGAUCGGCUAACUCCGUGCCAGCAGCCGCGGUAAUACGGAGGAUCCAAGCGUUAUCCGGAAUCAUUGGGUUUAAAAGGGUCCGUAGGCGGUUUAGUAAGUCAGUGGUGAAAGCCCAUCGCUCAACGGUGGAACGGCCAUGGAUACUGCUAGACUUGAAUUAUUAGGAAGUAACUAGAAUAUGUAGUGUAGCGGUGAAAUGCUUAGAGAUUACAUGGAAUACCAAUUGCGAAGGCAGGUUACUACUAAUGGAUUGACGCUGAUGGACGAAAGCGUGGGUAGCGAACAGGAUUAGAUACCCUGGUAGUCCACGCCGUAAACGAUGGAUACUAGCUGUUGGGAGCGAUCUCAGUGGCUAAGCGAAAGUGAUAAGUAUCCCACCUGGGGAGUACGUUCGCAAGAAUGAAACUCAAAGGAAUUGACGGGGGCCCGCACAAGCGGUGGAGCAUGUGGUUUAAUUCGAUGAUACGCGAGGAACCUUACCAAGGCUUAAAUGUAGAUUGACCGGUUUGGAAACAGACUUUUCGCAAGACAAUUUACAAGGUGCUGCAUGGUUGUCGUCAGCUCGUGCCGUGAGGUGUCAGGUUAAGUCCUAUAACGAGCGCAACCCCUGUUGUUAGUUGCCAGCGAGUCAUGUCGGGAACUCUAACGAGACUGCCAGUGCAAACUGUGAGGAAGGUGGGGAUGACGUCAAAUCAUCACGGCCCUUACGCCUUGGGC